AUUAGCGUAAUAUAAGUAUUUUCAUGAUUGAUUUUCAUCAGAUUUUCAUGUAGUGUUUGUUGCGAAAUAAUAACUAAUUGAGAGUAGCAUGUCGGGUAGAAGUGAUUUAUGGAAUCAUUUUAUUAAAAAAGACUUCGGAGGCACAUGCAAAUAUUGUCACCAGGACGUAAAAACUAAGGGAAACUGAGCAUUGGGAACUAUAGUUCCCAGUUAUAAUUCCCAAUGCUUAAUAUUUAAACUUUUAACUCUUACCUUAUUUUUUACUUUUUUGCAAUCAAUAAAAACAUUCAGUAUAUAAA